rnacentral:rRNA from 1 species
AUUGAACGCUGGCGGCAGGCCUAACACAUGCAAGUCGAGCGGAUGAGAGGAGCUUGCUUCUCGAUUCAGCGGCGGACGGGUGAGUAAUGCCUAGGAAUCUGCCUGGUAGUGGGGGACAACGUUUCGAAAGGAACGCUAAUACCGCAUACGUCCUACGGGAGAAAGCAGGGGACCUUCGGGCCUUGCGCUAUCAGAUGAGCCUAGGUCGGAUUAGCUAAGUUGGUGAGGUAAUGGCUCACCAAGGCGACGAUCCGUAACUGGUCUGAGAGGAUGAUCAGUCACACUGGAACUGAGACACGGUCCAGACUCCUACGGGAGGCAGCAGUGGGGAAUAUUGGACAAUGGGCGAAAGCCUGAUCCAGCCAUGCCGCGUGUGUGAAGAAGGUCUUCGGAUCGUAAAGCACUUUAAGUUGGGAGGAAGGGUUGUAGAUUAAUACUCUGCAAUUUUGACGUUACCGACAGAAUAAGCACCGGCUAACUCUGUGCCAGCAGCCGCAGUAAGAC